GUGCUCGCUUUGGCAACACAUACACUACAACUGGAAUGAUACAGAGAAGAUUAGCAUGGCCCCUGUGCAAGGAUGACAUGCAAAUUUAAAAAAAAAGUUUGUUU
rnacentral:snRNA from 1 species